AGAGCAAACCCUUUAAUUCAACAUGGUAGAGAAUCAAAACAAUCUUCUUGAAGGAGGCGAGAACAAUAAUGGUGCUAGAGGUGCUCAACCUAUUCGUACCAUGAGAGACUAUGUCAUGCUAUCAUUGGAAGGCAUAAGUCCGAUCAUUUUGAGACUUGUUGUUCAAGCUAACAACUUAGAGCCAACAAUAUUAUAGUUGAUCUAAUAGAUUUGUCAAUUUGGAGGAUUGCC
rnacentral:lncRNA from 1 species